GACAGAGGCCUCGAGCGUUAGGCGGAAUCACUGGGCUUAAAGCGUGUGUAGCGGAUCGUUAAGUGCCUUGUGAAAUCCCACGGCUUAACUGUGGAACGGCUGGGCAUACUGGCGGUCUUGAGCCAUCUAGGGGCGACUGGAACAAACGGUGGAGCGGUGAAAUGCGUAGAUAUCGUUUGGAACGCCAAUGGUGAAAACAGGUCGCUGGGGGAUGAGCUGACGCUGAGACACGAAAGCCAGGGGAGCAAACGGG
rnacentral:rRNA from 1 species